rnacentral:rRNA from 1 species
AUACGUAGGGGACGAGCGUUGUCCGGAAUUACUGGGCGUAAAGGGCGCGCAGGCGGUAUAUCAAGUCAGCUGUCAAAGACUAGGGCUCAACCCUGGGAUGCGGUUGAAACUGAUAUGCUGGAGUGCUGUAGAGGCCAGUGGAAUUCCCAGUGUAGCGGUGAAAUGCGUAGAUAUUGGGAAGAACACCGGUGGCGAAGGCGACUUGCUGGGCAGCAACUGACGCUGAGGCGCGAAAGCCAGGGGAGCAAACGGGAUUAGAUACCCCGGUAGUCCUGGCCGUAAACGAUGAAUGCUAGGUGUGUGUGUAGAGAUACAUGCGUGCCGGAGUUAACGCGAUAAGCAUUCCGCCUGGGGAGUACGGUCGCAAGAUUGAAACUCAAAGGAAUUGACGGGG